AGAAACUUAGGAUAAUAACCAAACCAGGAGCCUUCAAAGCCCCAAAUAAGAGUCAUAGUCUCUUAGUUUCUG
rnacentral:tRNA from 1 species